GCAGUUUCUCUGGCAUUUCACAAUUGCAAAGAGCCCUUUGGGCUUCUCUGCCUUCUGUGAUACCCUGUUCUUGGCAGUGCUGUGGUGUGGGAAGAAGGCUGAGGGCAGCUUUAGCAACUUGAACACAAAGGCACAUAAUCUUACUGGCACAGCAGAGGGUGAUACAGAGAAGGAAUAUACAGAGAGACACCAGUCUUUUUUUGUGACCACAGUCAGCCCAUGAAGAGUGAGUGCUCUCAGCCACCUACAAAAUACUGUGGAGAAAAUGUAUGCUAGUCGAGAGGAUAUUGGGUAUGAUUUUGGAGAUGACUCGAAAGUUGGAAGUAAGCCAAUUAAGCCUAAUCCAAACAUCGAUGGAGGAUGGGCUUGGAUGAUUGUACUUUCCUCCUUCCUUGUGCACAUACUUAUCAUGGGGUCCCAAAUGGCCCUUGGAAUACUCAACAUGGAAUGGCUUGAAGAGUUUAAUCAAAGUCGUGGCUUAACAGCGUGGGUUAGCUCCCUUAGCAUGGGCAUUACACUUAUUGUAGGUCCUUUCAUUGGUUUAUUCAUCAGCAUGUGUGGGUGCCGCAAGACAGCUAUAAUUGGAGGGAUAUUGAAUGCCCUAGGUUGGAUACUGAGUGCCUAUGCCUCAGAUGUGCACUACCUCUUCCUUACGUUUGGAGUGACAGCCGG